rnacentral:rRNA from 1 species
AUACGGAGGGUGCAAGCGUUAUUCGGAAUCACUGGGCGUAAAGGACGCGUAGGCGGGUUGGCAAGUCAGAUGUGAAAUCCUACAGCUUAACUGUAGAACUGCAUUUGAAACUGCUAACCUAGAGUAUGGGAGGGGGAGAUGGAAUUAGUGGUGUAGGGGUAAAAUCCGUAGAUAUCACUAGGAAUACCGAAAGCGAAGGCGAUCUCCUGGAACAUAACUGACGUUAAGGCGUGAAAGCGUGGGGAGCAAACAGGAUUAGAAACCCGUGUAGUCC